UACGUAGGGGGCAAGCGUUGUCCGGAAUUAUUGGGCGUAAAGAGCGCGUAGGCGGUCCGGUAAGUCGGUUGUGAAAGUCGGGGGCUCAACCCUCGGAUGCCGAUCGAUACUGUCGGGCUAGAGUCCGGAAGAGGCGAGUGGAAUUCCUGGUGUAGCGGUGGAAUGCGCAGAUAUCAGGAGGAACACCAAUGGCGAAGGCAGCUCGCUGGGACGGUACUGACGCUGAGGCGCGAAAGCGUGGGGAGCGAACAGG
rnacentral:rRNA from 1 species